AUUAGCCAUGCAUGUCUAAGUAUAAGCAACUUGUACUGUGAAACUGCGAAUGGCUCAUUAAAUCAGUUAUCGUUUAUUUGAUAGUACCUUACUACAUGGAUACCUGUGGUAAUUCUAGAGCUAAUACAUGCUAAAAACCCCGACUUCAGGAAGGGGUGUAUUUAUUAGAUAAAAAACCAACGCCCUUCGGGGCUCCUUGGUGAAUCAUAAUAACUUAACGAAUCGCAUGGCCUUGCGCCGGCGAUGGUUCAUUCAAAUUUCUGCCCUAUCAACUUUCGAUGGUAGGAUAGUGGCCUACCAUGGUGGCAACGGGUAACGGGGAAUUAGGGUUCGAUUCCGGAGAGGGAGCCUGAGAAACGGCUACCACAUCCAAGGAAGGCAGCAGGCGCGCAAAUUACCCAAUCCCGAUACGGGGAGGUAGUGACAAUAAAUACUGAUACGGGGCUCUUUUGGGUCUCGUAAUUGGAAUGAGAACAAUUUAAAUCCCUUAACGAGGAACAAUUGGAGGGCAAGUCUGGUGCCAGCAGCCGCGGUAAUUCCAGCUCCAAUAGCGUAUAUUAAAGUUGUUGCAGUUAAAAAGCUCGUAGUUGAACCUUGGGUCUGGCUGGUCGGUCCGCCUCACCGCGAGUACUGAUCCGGCUGGACCUUUCCUUCUGGGGAACCUCAUGGCCUUCACUGGCUGUGGGGGGAACCAGGACUUUUACUGUGAAAAAAUUAGAGUGUUCAAAGCAGGCCUUUGCUCGAAUACAUUAGCAUGGAAUAAUAGAAUAGGACGUGCGGUUCUAUUUUGUUGGUUUCUAGGACCGCCGUAAUGAUUAAUAGGGAUAGUCGGGGGCGUCAGUAUUCAGCUGUCAGAGGUGAAAUUCUUGGAUUUGCUGAAGACUAACUACUGCGAAAGCAUUCGCCAAGGAUGUUUUCAUUAAUCAGGGAACGAAAGUUAGGGGAUCGAAGACGAUCAGAUACCGUCGUAGUCUUAACCAUAAACUAUGCCGACUAGGGAUCGGACGGGAUUCUAUAAUGACCCGUUCGGCACCUUACGAGAAAUCAAAGUUUUUGGGUUCUGGGGGGAGUAUGGUC
rnacentral:rRNA from 1 species